UUUUUUUUCUCUUGGAAUUUUUUCUUUCUUUUUUUUUUCUUUGCAUAUUAACCUCAUGCUUGAAUACAACAAAUUGUUUUGUUUUUAAUUAAAUUUCUGGUGACAUCAAGCUCAACUUCAAAUAUUGUUUAAUUAAAUUGUGUUUUUAUUGGUAAAUGUUAUCAUUCAAUAUGUGACCCAAUCUAGAUAGAAUAAGUUAUCAGGUAACUCAACACGACUU
rnacentral:lncRNA from 1 species